rnacentral:rRNA from 1 species
ACAUGCCUACAACAUAGCGUUAAUUCACCAGAUCCCAUUAGAACUAUGUAUUUAAGCAUGCUCGGACUAGAGUAGUACUGGGACGAGUGACCACUUGAGAAGUCCUAGUAUAUUACAUGCC